UAAUAUUGGACUAUUCUUUGCCGAUAUGCUGCCAUCCAAACUUAAGCUUACUGUCGGACUUCCGAAAGUAAGUCUAGAUCGGCUCUCCGACAUUCAAAAUUGCUCGAUUCAUUAUACUGUUCCACUCUUGCUGAUGGUAAUUCGAUCUCAAAUUGAAUCAUCACCUCCAUCCUAUAGGUUAGAUUGAAUGACAAUUCUCCUGUCAGUAUACGAGGAGUUGUCCGAUAUGCCCAU
rnacentral:lncRNA from 1 species